UACGGGGGGGGCAAGCGUUGUUCGGAAUUACUGGGCGUAAAGGGCUCGUAGGUGGCCAACUAAGUCAGACGUGAAAUCCCUCGGCUUAACCGGGGAACUGCGUCUGAUACUGGAUGGCUUGAGUCCGGAAGAGGAGAGUGGAAUUCCCGGUGUAGCGGUGAAAUGCGCAGAUAUCGGGAAGAACACCUAUGGCGAAGGCAGCUCUCUGGGACGGUACUGACGCUGAGACGCGAAAGCGUGGGGAGCGAACAGG
rnacentral:rRNA from 1 species